GCAGCCCCCUGUGUCCCUGCAGUUACCAGCCACUGCACUGAGGACUUUCUCCUCCAACACCAGGGAAAAUGAGACUUUGGCUCCAUUUACUUUUCCUUGUGGCGGCUCUGGAAGGGGCCCGGUCACAGGUUGUUCUGACCCAAUCCGGCCCAGAAAUGAAGAAGCCCGGAGAAUCCACUCGGCUGAAAUGCGCCGUGAGCGGGUUCACUAUCACCGAUUAUUAUAUGGCUUGGGUCAGACAGGAGCCAGGAAAGGGGCUGGAGUGGCUGGUCAGCUACUGGAAACCAGGGCAGAGCGAGUAUUAUUCUCCCACCAUCAAGGGGCGAUUCACAGCCUCCAAGGACAGCUCCAAUUUCUACCUACAAAUGAACAGCCUGAAACCCGAGGACACCGCCCUGUAUUACUGCACGAGAGACACAGUGAGGGGAAGCCGGUCUGGGCUCAGACAAAAACCUCCCCCUGCAGAGACAGGGGAAGGGAUUUCCUGGGGGUGGCGCUUUCGACCCACAGCAGUGAGAAGAGAGACUCCCCUUGGCGGGAUCCCACACAGCUGCCAGCGGAGAGAGAGGCUCUGCUGACUCCAUCUGCCCCUGGGGAGCGCAGGGAGCAGAUGCUCAGUGGCUAUUUUAGCGAAGAAGGAGCAGGUGCAUCCGCCCUCACUCUGCGAUGCUCCCCACGAUUCACCAGGGCUUUCUGGUCAGCCGGUCUCCAG